rnacentral:rRNA from 1 species
GAUGAACGCUGGCGGCGUGCCUAAUACAUGCAAGUCGAGCGAACAGACCAGGAGCUUGCUCCUCUGACGUUAGCGGCGGACGGGUGAGUAACACGUGGAUAACCUACCUAUAAGACUGGGAUAACUUCGAGAAACCGGAGCUAAUACCGGAUAAUAUAUUUAACCGCAUGGUUCAAUAGUGAAAGACGGUUUUGCUGUCACUUAUAGAUGGAUCCGCGCCGCAUUAGCUAGUUGGUAAGGUAACGGCUUACCAAGGCGACGAUGCGUAGCCGACCUGAGAGGGGGAUAGGCCACACUGGAACUGAGACACGGUCCAGACUCCUACGGGAGGCAGCAGUAGGGAAUCUUCCGCAAUGGGAGAAAGCCUGACGGAGCAACGCCGCGUGAGUGAUGAAGGUCUUCGGAUCGUAAAACUCUGUUAUUAGGGAAGAACAAAUGUGUAAGUAACUAUGCACGUCUUGACGGUACCUAAUCAGAAAGCCACGGCUAACUACGUG